rnacentral:rRNA from 1 species
AUAGGUAUGCUUAGGGAGGAGCUUGCGUCACAUUAGUUAGUUGGUGGGGUAAAGGCCUACCAAGACUAUGAUGUGUAGCCGGGCUGAGAGGUUGAACGGCCACAUUGGGACUGAGACACGGCCCAAACUCCUACGGGAGGCAGCAGUAGGGAAUUUUCGGCAAUGGAGGAAACUCUGACCGAGCAACGCCGCGUGAACGAUGAAGUAUUUCGGUACGUAAAGUUCUUUUAUUAGGGAAGAAUAAAUGAUGGAAAAAUCAUUCUGACGGUACCUAAUGAAUAAGCCCCGGCUAACUAUGUGCCAGCAGCCGCGGUAAUACAUAGGGGGCAAGCGUUAUCCGGAAUUAUUGGGCGUAAAGGGUGCGUAGGCUGUUAAAUAAGUUUAUGGUCUAAGUGCAAUGCUCAACAUUGUGAUGCUAUAAAAACUGUUUAGCUAGAGUAAGAUAGAGGCAAGUGGAAUUCCAUGUGUAGUGGUAAAAUGCGUAAAUAUAUGGAGGAACACCAGUAGCGAAGGCGGCUUGCUGGGUCUUUACUGACGCUGAGGCACGAAAGCGUGGGGAGCAAACAGGAUUAGAUACCCUGGUAGUCCACGCCGUAAACGAUGAGUACUAAACGUUGGGUAAAACCAGUGUUGAAGUUAACACAUUAAGUACUCCGCCUGAGUAGUACGUACGCAAGUAUGAAACUUAAAGGAAUUGACGGGACUCCGCACAAGCGGUGGAUCAUGUUGUUUAAUUCGAANGUACCCGAAAAACCUCACCAGGUCUUGACAUGCUUCUGCAAAGCUGUAGAAACACAGUGGANGUUAUCAGUUGCACAGGUGGUGCAUGGUUGUCGUCAGCUCGUGUCGUGAGAUGUUGGGUUAAGUCCCGCAACGAGCGCAACCCUUAUUGUUAGUUGCCANCACGUAAUGG